rnacentral:rRNA from 1 species
CAGCAGCCGCGGGAAUACGAAGGGGGCUAGCAUUGUUCGGAUUUACUGGGCGUAAAGGGCGCGUAGGCGGACUGAUAAGUCAGGGGUGAGAUCCCAAGGCUCAACCUUGGAACUGCCUUUGAUACUGUUUGUCUUGAGUUCGAGAGAGGUAAGUGGAACUGCGAGUGUAGAGGUGAAAUUCGUAGAUAUUCGCAAGAACACCAGUGGCGAAGGCGGCUUACUGGCUCGAAACUGACGCUGAGGCGCGAAAGCGUGGGGAGCAAACAGGAUUAGAUACCCGUGUAGUCCCUGUCUCUUAUAC